ACGGGUGAGUAAUGCCUAGGAAUCUGCCUGGUAGUGGGGGAUAACGCUCGGAAACGGACGCUAAUACCGCAUACGUCCUACGGGAGAAAGCAGGGGACCUUCGGGCCUUGCGCUAUCAGAUGAGCCUAGGUCGGAUUAGCUAGUUGGUGAGGUAAUGGCUCACCAAGGCGACGAUCCGUAACUGGUCUGAGAGGAUGAUCAGUCACACUGGAACUGAGACACGGUCCAGACUCCUACGGGAGGCAGCAGUGGGGAAUAUUGGACAAUGGGCGAAAGCCUGAUCCAGCCAUGCCGCGUGUGUGAAGAAGGUCUUCGGAUUGUAAAGCACUUUAAGUUGGGAGGAAGGGCAGUUACCUAAUACGUGAUUGUUUGACGUUACCGACAGAAUAAGCACCGGCUAACUCUGUGCCAGCAGCCGCGGUAAUACAGAGGGUGCAAGCGUUAAUCGGAAUUACUGGGCGUAAAGCGCGCGUAGGUGGUUUGUUAAGUUGGAUGUGAAAUCCCCGGGCUCAACCUGGGAACUGCAUCCAAAACUGGCAAGCUAGAGUAUGGUAGAGGGGUGGUGGAAUUUCCUGUGUAGCGGU
rnacentral:rRNA from 1 species